UGAAAAAUGUACCCCAAAAUGCGUUGCCUUUUAAGAAGGACAGACGCAGGUCGGAAGCUCCAAAAUUUGCGCUAAGUUCAGCUCCGCCGGGAAAAUGACAGAGACCACACGAUGCUGUCAGGAAAAACAAACUGAUCCCUUUAUUGCAGAAUGCAAAGCUACAGCUGUAGGGUCCCUGCCUCUGGAAAGAAGGAAGGAACCCCGGGAAAUGGUGGGCAAUCCUUCGAGAUGGGCGCAGGAGUGGAGCGAUUUCCUGACGAUUUCCAUGAGGUGAUUUUCAUCCGGCAGGUGUUUUCCUUGAGGCCGCGGAAAGAUGGACUAUGGCAUGUUUAAUUUGAAUAAAGUUGUCAAGCUAA